rnacentral:pre_miRNA from 1 species
UCUUCUGGAUGAGCAAAGAGUGGUUUCUUGACAUGGAAUCUACUUCUGGUGAAAAUGCAGUGAA